UUCAGCUUUUUCCUAAUAUCAAAAACUGAUUUGCAGUUUCCUCUCCCACGUUUUCUAAUCCGUGCAAAAGAGUUCUCCUCUUUCCUAUGGAAUCACCGCUCACGAUCAUAUACUUCAAUUGAAAAAGAAGUUCACCGGCCAACAGAAUACUUAAAAGAAUUUUUGGGCUUGCUGUUUUAAUGGGUGAUGCUGCUUCGUAUGCAAAGAAGAAUUUGUCUUUUAACACAGAAGCAAAACCAGAGAGCAAUUCAAUUUCAUUGGUUCCCCAGACUAAAUUUCAAAGGUCAAGGGAAGUGCAUGAUCAAGACAUAGGAGAAGUCGGUUAGAGAGGGGGCUAGAUUUGCAGAAGCUGUACAGAAGUUGGGAAGAUAAUCCGGGCGUUGGUUUUAUUGCAUUGAAGGUAAUAGUGUUUCUUUUUCUCCCCGUUGCCACUAAUUUGGUUCUUUAACAUCAGCUACUAUUCUUUUGUCCCAUGCUGAAGCUGAUAUUGCUUGGUUUUGAUUACACAAGUGGUGACUUACAAAGAUUGAUUUUAACUUACAAAGAUUGGUUUUGAUUACACAAGUGGUGACUUACAAAGAUUGGUUUUGACUUACACAAGUGGUGACUUACAAAGAUUGCUUGGUUUUCACAGCUUUUAUCUUUGUUGCGUUGCAUAAUUAGUGAUAGUGACAUACUUGAAUGUGCAAAUUUCCAAAUAUACAAUGACGUAGAAGCUUUGUAAAUCAAAAAGAAAAAAAUGGCAGUAUACUUUUACUGAGAAAUGGACUGUCCUAGUUCCCUAGAUUGCUAAUAUGAUAUAGUUCGAUCAAUUCGCAGUAAAGCUAUAUAUAUAUAUUGUACGACUUUUUGCACACAUACAUCAAACAUUUCUUACUCCACCAAUCUAUAUUUGGUCUAAAGUUUCAACAGUGUUGGACCCUAAUUGCUGUGGCUCUAGAGUACCCUUAUUCCAAAGCAAUCCUUUCAAUUAAAGUAACUUUUGACAUCACUAAAUUUGUUAUCAUCAACAAUACGACCUUACCUUUAUC